ensembl:miRNA
GUAUUAGGUUGGUGCAAAAGUAAUUGCAGUUUUUGCCAUUAAGAGUAAUGACAAAAACUGCAAUUACUUUUGCAC